rnacentral:rRNA from 1 species
AUUGAACGCUGGCGGCAUGCCUUACACAUGCAAGUCGAACGGCAGCACGGGAGCAAUCCUGGUGGCGAGUGGCGAACGGGUGAGUAAAGUAUCGGAACGUGCCCAGUCGUGGGGGAUAACGUAGCGAAAGUUACGCUAAUACCGCAUACGAUCUAUGGAUGAAAGCGGGGGAUCGCAAGACCUCGCGCGAUUGGAGCGGCCGAUAUCAGAUUAGGUAGUUGGGGGGGUAAAGGCUCACCAAGCCGACGAUCGGUAGCUGGUCUGGGAGGACGACCAGCCAAACUGGGACUGGGACACGGCCCAGACUCCUACGGGAGGCAGCAGUGGGGAAUUUUGGACAAUGGGCGAAAGCCUGAUCCAGCCAUGCCGCGUGCAGGAUGAAGGCCUUCGGGUUGUAAACUGCUUUUGUACGGAACGAAAAGGUUUGGCCUAAUAAGCUGAGCUCAUGACGGUACCGUAAGAAUAAGCACCGGCUAACUACGUGCCAGCAGCCGCCGUAAGAC